CAUGCAGGGAGCCUGACAUGGGAUUCGAUCCCAGCUCUCCAGGAUCGCGCCCUGGGCCAAAGGCAGGCACCAAACCGCUGCGCCCCCCAGGGAUCCCUCUUUCAGCGGUUCUGAAGCUUCAAGUAAUUCUGAAAUAGAAAGAUCUUUCGGAGGCUAUUUGUUCCACGCGAGGUCACCUGCCGAAAUCCUUUCCCAGGUGCUGAGUUGACACAGAUGGCCAGGGAACAGCCCAGCUGUGACGUCCACCAUCACAGACAGUUCUGUCAACAGCAUCAGUCGGUGAGAUUCUGGAAAAACAUUUUUUUUGGCAAGAACCCUACAGAGAGGAUGUAUUCCAUCACUAAUUGCAGGGGCCUGCUGGUGACACCUACAGUAUGAAUCAAUAACUGCUUAUGAAAGAGGUGACCCAGCACCAGGCAAUUGCCUAAGGAUGGAAGAGAAAAGGGUUUAUAUGGUCUCCAGAGCAUCUACCACUAUGCCAGGAUCAAGAGGAAAAAAAAAUUCAGCUUUGUGACCUGAAACACAGACCGAAGUGACGCAGCAAAGCGGCCCAGCAACACAGGAGAAGAGGGACUGACCCAGGGAAGGGUGAGGCCAUGGGGCUCUGGCUGUCCUUCCGCCGCAGACUCCAUGCUUAUUUAAAUAAUCAUAACUUCUGGGGCAGCCCGUGCCUGAUUUCGGCUCAGGUCCUGAUCUCUCCUGGUCCUUGGAUGGAGCCCGGAGUAGGGCUCCAUGCUCAGCGGGAAGUCGGGUUGAAGAUUCUUUCCCUCUCUCUCUCCCUCUGGCCCUCCCCCUGCUCCUGCACGAGUGCUCUCUCAAAUAAAUAAAUAAAUCUUAUAAAUAAACAAUCAUCACUUUUUGGUGAUUGCUUUGGGCACAGGAAGCAGCUUGGUGAGAUGUCUGUGACCCAGCUAAGCAUUCAGCCAGAAGGCUUCACACCAGGGCCCCCUAGGGAACCCUCUAGAGAGAGGCUGGCAGGCUCCAAGAGCGAUGUGCUGCUUACUUCUCCGCAGGCUUGUGCUCCAAGUCUGGGGUGAACUUUGCAUCUGGAAGAAUCUAGAGACACAUCACACUCUAGUUUUUACAGUUUCAUUGCCAUGUUUGUCUCCUUGGAAGGGUCCUCUCCCCUCCACUCCAAAUAAGGACCAGAAAAGGGCAGAAGCUAGACAGGGAAAUUUUGAUUUAAAGAACUGAGUGCGUGGUCCCAACUGUCCACGUGGCUCUGCGGAAGUCGAAUCUGUACAAUGAAAGGGUUCCCUUCCAACACAGAAGAUUCAGUUCUAAUUUUCUAUGACCUUUUAACUCUAUGAGAGGAGAGGAAGGCAGAGAUCAUCGUACCUAAAGGCCGCCCACCAACAACCCCUUGCCCCUCCACCAAGACUUGGCAUACCCUUGUCUCCCUAGCUCCCUCAGAGUUAACCUCUAACGAGAACAUUCAUGAGAAGCCCGCAGACAGGAGACUGGCUGAAGGUAUACACACAUCUAAAGAAGGAAGGUGUCGAUCUGCAGGGGAGCUGGUCAAUCUCAAAGGUAGAGAGAGAGGACACCUCAGGUGUCUCUGGGCUCUAUCUGGUAGACACCAGAGUCUUAAGGGAAUAUCUAUCUGGCUGUUUGUCAGAUAUCCCUAUUGUGGAGACUCAUGCAGCUUGAAUAACAAGACCUGGUGUCAUUUUAUCUUCAGGUAAUAAAACUAACUUCAUUAGGAUGCUAAACUCUCUGGCUACCUUCUGAUCACCUGCCUUCCCAUGUAGCCUGCUCCAGGGAGCGAUUGUGCUGGGUGCACUGACACGUCCGUUGGAUCCAGGGACUGUUUGGUCUGAUGCACAGGCCUCCACGAAUUUGUGGGUCCAAACUGGCCUCCGUGAGAUGAUUUCUGGAUGGAACUGAGUUUCUGAGCCUCUAAGGAUGAAUCCAGGCCCAGGGGCAUGGUGUGUUCCUCUAGUGGAGACCAAGCUGUGAAGACAGCUGGUCCUAAUAUCCAUGAUAGGUCUGGGUCUGCUAACAUCUUCUUCUUUUUUUUUUAAAGAUUUUAUUUAUUCAUGAGAGACACACAGAGAGAGGCAGAGACAUGGGCAGAGGGAGAAGCAGGCUCCCUGCAGGGAGCCUGAAGUGGGACUCAAUCCCAGGACCUUGGGAUCACGCCCUGAGCUGAAGACAGACCGUCUACCACUGAGCCACCCAGGUGCCCCUAGGGUCUAUUAACUUCUUGAUUCACUAGUUUCCUUCUAUCAUCCCAAACUUUGUAUUCUGGGUAUUUUUCUUCUCAUUUUGCUAUA